GGACAGGGCUGAGGCAUUUUAAGAGCAGUGCAAUCAGCUAUUAUAUUGAAAUAGAUCCAAAUUAAGAGCUAGGAAAGCCUGAUUUCUUGGUCCAAUGCUGAUAGCUAGGAAGGUCUCCUUGUUCCGCUGCCGGGAUUAGUGCUGGCAUUGCUCCUGCCUUGGUCUGAAUGCCCUCCUCUGAGAACGUCUCAGUCCUUUCCGGGAAGGCUGCACAUGGAGGUGGACAGGCAUUGAUUUCAUGGCCAAGAAGAGGGAGAUGUGGCCACGUGCAUCACAGGUGAAAGCCUGGAAGGGGCUUGGCAUUGCCUUUCUGCAUGCCUGAGAGGUUCAGGACCCUGCUCUGAGGUCCUGAGUGAUGCCUCCAGCAUGGCCUCAGGCUGUUCCCCAGUGUCUGAACACAGCUACAAAAAUUAUACCCUGUAAUUCCAGAUGGGGGGCAAACCUCACAAAAAGGAUUUUUUUUGUCUGGUGUCAUAAGGAAAUAAGGCUUCAAUCAUCUUUGUCUCUCUCACUACCUGUCCCACUGAUGACUUUGGGGUCAUUGGAUACAUUUCACCAAUCAGAGGGACACAGGUGCCUAAGAGAAUAUAAUUCUUAAAAAAUAUUGUGAAAAUAGAUGUCCAAGCAUCAGAAAUUAAAUCUAUCAAUAUCACCUCUGAGGAAGAGGUAAAACAUCAGCAAAAAUUUUCUGAGGUGUUGGGGCACAGGCAUGGGCACUGGAUGUGGGAAUGGCUCCAGCACUGGAGUUGCUGGUAGGAGCUGGUGUCUUAUCAGCAGCAAUUCCAGAAGGGCUGGCCUCACAGGCAUUGUGUCCUGCAUCGGAACAC